ACCCAGCUGAUGAGUCUCAAAUAGGACGAAGCUCUCGUCCUGGAU
rfam:Schistosoma haematobium scaffold1851_5, whole genome shotgun sequence.